AGAUGUUUAUUACGAAGAUAAUUCUAUAUAGUAUCGAGUUGAUAUAAUACGUACAGCAACAAUUGCAGUUUUGUCUCUUGUUCCGCUUGCUAUCUCUCUCACACUUGAUGAUUUACUUCCAAGGAUAGUUUAGUUUUACGCCGGCAGGCAAUGACUUCGAGGACCAAUCACAUUGCAGCUUACGUUAAAAAAUAGAUCGUACAUACACGAACAUCCAUUCGGGUCGAAGUGGGUCGAAGCAGGUCGUAUAAUCAAGGUUGAACUUUAUUCAUUUGUAUCAACAUGGAUAUCCGUGUAUGAGUAUCAUAGAAUUAUCAAUAAAUGGGAAACUAGAUUGUAAAUAGAUGUUUACAAUCGCUUUUUGCUACCUAAAAUGCAAUAAUAAGUUGAUCUAUUCAUUAUAUUCUACAUGAAAAAUGUUUAUUUAUUAUUGUACAUCCUUCAAUAAUGCAUAGUUCUAAGUAUAGAAAUUCUAU